UACGUAGGAGGCAAGCGUUAUCCGGAAUUAUUGGGCGUAAAGCGUCCGUAGGUGGCUGUUCAAGUCUGCUGUCAAAGAGUGGGGCUUAACCCUGCAAAGGCAGUGGAAACUGAAAGGCUAGAGAGCCGUAGGGGUAGAGGGAAUUCCCGGUGUAGUGGUGAAAUGCGUAGAUAUCGGGAGGAACACCAGUGGCGAAGGCGACUACCUGGCCUGUUCUUGACGCUGAGGCGCGAAAGCUAGGGGAGCAAACGGG
rnacentral:rRNA from 1 species